GAAAUUGAAGGUCCAAGCUGAAAAAUAUAGCUGUGUUCCUGUUCCUGCAGAAUCAGAAAAAACUAAAAAGUUGCGAAGAAUUCGCCGAAAAAGGGCAUCAACUUUUGGAGAAUUUAGUAUAUCACCUCAAGCUGUGCUGGAUUCAAUUAGUGUGAAAUGUGAAAGGAGGACUAAUCCAAUUUGGUUCUCAUUAGUGGCCUCUGAAGACCAGGACGGAAGUGCACCUUUG
rnacentral:misc_RNA from 1 species